rnacentral:rRNA from 1 species
GACGAACGCUGGCGGCGUGCCUAAUACAUGCAAGUGGGACGCAAGGGAACACACUGUGCUUGCACACCGUGUUUUCUUGAGUCGCGAACGGGUGAGUAACGCGUAGGUAACCUGCCUAUUAGCGGGGGAUAACUAUUGGAAACGAUAGCUAAUACCGCAUAAUAUUAAUUAUUGCAUGAUAAUUGAUUGAAAGAUGCAAGCGCAUCACUAGUAGAUGGACCUGCGUUGUAUUAGCUAGUUGGUAAGGUAAGAGCUUACCAAGGCGACGAUACAUAGCCGACCUGAGAGGGUGAUCGGCCACACUGGGACUGAGACACGGCCCAGACUCCUACGGGAGGCAGCAGUAGGGAAUCUUCGGCAAUGGACGAAAGUCUGACCGAGCAACGCCGCGUGAGUGAAGAAGGUUUUCGGAUCGUAAAGCUCUGUUGUAAGUCAAGAACGUGUGUGAGAGUGGA